rnacentral:misc_RNA from 1 species
UCCGGCUUAUCACCGGCAGUCUGCUCAGGGUUCCAAACUAAAUGUUGUCAGAGGCAUUCUAGCCCAGGUAAGGUUCUUCGCGUUGCGUCGAAUUAAACCACAUGCUCCACCGCUUGUGCGGGUCCCCGUCAAUUCCUUUGAGUUUCAGUCUUGCGACCGUACUCCCCAGGCGGAAUGCUUAAAGCGUUAGCGACGGCACCCGGGGACUUUAUAACCCCAGACACCAAGCAUUCAUCGUUUAAGGCCAGGACUA